rnacentral:miRNA from 1 species
UCACCGGGAGUUCUGUAGUGA